GGUCCCUUCGUCUAGUGGUUAGGACAUCAGGUUUUCAUCCUGAUAACAGGGGUUCGAUUCCCCUAGGGACUACCA
rnacentral:tRNA from 1 species